rnacentral:rRNA from 1 species
UACGUAGGUGGCAAGCGUUAUCCGGGUUUAUUGGGCGUAAAGGGAACGCAGGCGGUCUUUUAAGUCUGAUGUGAAAGCCUUCGGCUUAACCGGAGUAGUGCAUUGGAAACUGGGAGACUUGAGUGCAGAAGAGGAGAGUGGAACUCCAUGUGUAGCGGUGAAAUGCGUAGAUAUAUGGAAGAACACCAGUGGCGAAAGCGGCUCUCUGGCCUGUAACUGACGCUGAGGUUCGAAAGCGUGGGUAGCAAACAGG